rnacentral:rRNA from 1 species
GACGAACCGUGCAAACGUUAUUCGGAAUCACUGGGCUUAAAGCGCGUGUAGGCGGGCCGGCACGUCGGUCGCUGAAAUCCCCCGGCUCAACCGGGGAAGCGGCGCCGAUACGACCGGCCUGGAGGGGCGUAGGGGGACCUGGAACUUCUGGUGGAGCGGUGAAAUGCGUUGAGAUCGGAAGGAACGCCCGUGGCGAAAGCGAGGUCCUGGACGCCAUCUGACGCUGAGACGCGAAAGCCAGGGGAGCGAACGGG